rnacentral:scRNA from 1 species
CUCGCCAGGGGGCAAUCUUUGCUCCUGCCACG